rnacentral:ribozyme from 1 species
GGAUAAUGAGAGGGAAAAGGGAAAAUAAAAAGAGAAGGACGAAUGUAAAAAGUGUAUUCUUAUAUAUUUGUCUCUUUAUCUAUAUUUCUGUUUGUUUGUUUCUUUUUUAUCACUUAAAAACCCGUGAAGGACGAAACAAGGUUGAAGAUUAUAGCUGGGUGCAGGACAGGAAAAAAGA